rnacentral:lncRNA from 1 species
GAAACAUUGAUACUGUUAAGUUGUCUUCACACAGGUAUAGCUUUGCGAGACUGCAGUUUAUAUCUCGCAUGCACAACAAACGUAAAUGAGGGUCGUGAUUAGAGCUAAAAGAAGAAAAAAAGAAAAUAAUUUACUCCCAAAAAAUUAGAUAAAAAGGGUCUAAUAUAUACAGAAUAGAAAAUAAUCAUGACAAUGGGCAUAAAAUAUAAAAGAAAUAGAGAAAUAUGAUCUAAAUUAUCAUAGAAUACAGAUAUGAAAGACCCCAUUCAGACCCUAGUAAAUGCUGUAAGAUGUGUCGAUUAUUUCGCAUUUACGGAAAAAAUAAAUCCAUAUAUUGUAUAGUACUUUUUGCAGCAAAGUUCACGUAUUGAUGGUUUCAGAGAGUCACACCGAGCGAAUAUUUGAAUUGAAGUAGAUAUUGUUCUUCCCGAUUCAAAACAGAACUGCUUGAAGAUAUAAUUAAUGAUAUUAAAAAAUGGCAAGGUGCUUUU